rnacentral:rRNA from 1 species
AUGUUCCUCUUCUCUUGUCCUCCUCCGACGAGCGACCUCCGAUCCCUCCACGAUUUUGGUUUGAGACAUUCUGGCUGUCCCAAACUGGAUUCGUGGAGGCUGUUAGGGCUCGCUGGGUGGAGACUAGGUCUCUUCCCCACCUCCGCCCCCUCGGCUAUUGACUCUUGGCAACUCUGUGCCAAAACGCGGCCGACAGUUCAUGAAGGGGUGGGGUGCCAACCUGGGUCGCGACCUCCGCGAGCGGAAAAAGGCCUUGCUGACCUCCAUUCAGGCUCUCGAUCUCCACAUGCUGACACGGUCGGCCUCUCCCCUGAUGAGUGGCUCUCCUGGUAUGACCUGGAGGACCAACUCUCCAUCAUCUACACGGGCGAGGAGGCUUAUUGGCGCUUGCGGGGUUCCCAGAAAUGGGUCCUGAAGGGCGACGCGAACACUGCCUACUUUCAGGCCAUAGCGAAUGGGCGUCGUCAAAGCAACACCGUCCCUCUCCUCUAGGACGGCCCGUCCCUUCUGCAGUCCCCGAGGGACAUUAGGGCCCAUGUCGACGGGUUCUACCGAUCCCUAUUCUCCGCAUCUCCUAGGAGCGGUCUCUCUCUAGCACACGAUUGCUGGUCUGGCCGCCAGCUUGUCUCCGCUGAGGAGAAUGCGGCUCUCACGGCCCCAUUUUCCGUGUAUGAGGUCUGGGCGGCCAUUAGAGGCAUGAACCCCUCCUCGGCCCCGGGACCGGACGGCCUUCCGGUUAAAUUCUUCCAGACCUUCUGGAAUGUGAUUAAGCCAGAAAUCAUGGCCAUCUUUGACGAGUUUUACGUUGGGACCAUCGACCUUGGUCGCCUCAACUAUGGGAUCAUUUCGCUCAUUCCCAAAGUGUCGGGGGCCUCCGACAUUCGCCAGUUUCGCCCGAUCACGGUGAUCAAUGUGAUCUUCCGGAUUCUAGCGAAAGGGUACGCCAAUAGGGAUGACCCUGCUAGUUGA